CUACGAGAACUGGAAGGAGGUCCCUACUGCUCAGAAGGACCUCAUUUGGGAGGAUAUUCAGACGGAAUUUGAUAUCCCAGAGGCUUUCGACAGUAGGACAAAAAGGAAGUUACUACAAACUGUGUGGGAGAGAUGGACGUAGUUUAAAUUAGACCUCAUGAGGAAAUGGGCCCUUGCAGCCGAUCAGGACAGUGUCGAGGACAUUGUCUGUGACAAAUACGGCAUCAGCAAGGAAAAGUGGGCCCAGUUUUGCCAGACUCGCAAAGACCCUUCUUGGGAGGAUGUGCGCAUCAAGGCACAGGCCAUCUAGAAGCAGAAUACUGUCCCCCGCGUUUUGUCUCGUGGGGGUUAUGAUUAUUUGGAGCAGAAGCUCCUAGCUAAGAAGACCAAGAAGAAGCUGCACAGUCAGGAAGCGUUGAUGGCGUCAUCGACCCUCCAUCCCCGGUCAGACACCA